GCUGGCGGCAGGCCUAAUACAUGCAAGUCGAGCGCGCCCUUCGGGGUGAGCGGCGGACGGGUGAGUAACGCGUGGGAAUAUGCCCUUCUCUAAGGAAUAGCCUCUGGAAACGGAGAGUAAUACCUUAUACGCCCUUUGGGGGAAAGAUU
rnacentral:rRNA from 1 species